rnacentral:tRNA from 1 species
AGCUCUGAGGUGGUUAUCACGUUGAAUUGCAAGUUCAAAGAAGCAGCUUCAAUACUGCCGGGGCUU